rnacentral:rRNA from 1 species
CGGGAGGCAGCAGUGGGGAAUUUUCCGCAAUGGGCGAAAGCCUGACGGAGCAAUACCGCGUGAGGGAAGACUGCCUAUGGGUUGUAAACCUCUUUUUUCAGGGAGGAAUCAAUGACGUGUACCUGAAGAAUAAGCAUCGGCUAACUCCGUGCCAGCAGCCGCGGUAAGACGGAGGAUGCAAGUGUUAUCCGGAAUCACUGGGCGUAAAGCGUCUGUAGGUGGUUUAAUAAGUCAACUGUUAAAUCUUGAGGCUCAACUUCAAAAUCGCAGUCGAAACUAUUAGACUAGAGUAUAGUAGAGGUAAAGGGAAUUUCCAGUGGAGCGGUGAAAUGCGUAGAUAUUGGAAAGGACACCGAUGGCGAAAGCACUUUACUGGGCUAUUACUAACACUCAGAGACGAAAGCUAGGGUAGCAAAUGGGAUUAGAUACCCCAGUAGUCCUAGCCGUAAACAAUGGAUACUAGAUGUUGAACAGAUCGACCUGUGCAGUAUCAAAGCUAACGCGUUAAGUAUCCCGCCUGGGAAGUAUGCUCGCAAGAGUGAAACUCAAAGGAAUUG